rnacentral:tRNA from 1 species
GUCGACUUUAAAAAUCGUGAGGGUUCAAGUCCCUCUAUCCCCAAUAAAAGGGCCCAUU